UCCUGGCUCAGAACGAACGCUGGCGGCAGGCCUCAAACAUGCAAGUCUAGGGGGGUAGCAAUACCCACCGGCGGACGGGUGCGUAACGCGUGGGAACAUACCUUUCGGUACGGAACAACUGCGGGAAACUGCAGCUAAUACCGUAUACGCCCUUACGGGGAAAGAUUUAUCGCCGAAGGAUUGGCCCGCGUUCGAUUAGCUAGUUGGUGAGGUAAAGGCUCACCAAGGCUACGAUCGAUAGCUGUUCUGAGAGGAAGAUCAGCCACACUGGGACCGAGACACGGCCCAGACUCCUACGGGAGGCAGCAGUUGGGAAUCUUGGACAAUGGGGGAAACCCUGAUCCAGCCAUGCCGCGUGAGUGAUGAAGGCCUUCGGGUUGUAAAACUCUUUCGACGGGGACGAUAAUGACGGUACCCGUAGAAGAAGCCCCGGCUAACUUCGUGCCAGCAGCCGCGGUAAUACGAAGGGGGCUAGCGUUGUUCGGAAUUACUGGGCGUAAAGCGCGCGCAGGCGGUCUUCCAAGUCAGUGGUGAAAGCCUGGAGCUCAACUCCAGAACUGCCAUUGAAACUGUUAGACUUGAGUACGAGAUAGGUGAGUGGAAUUCCCAGUGUAGAGGUGAAAUUCGUAGAUAUUGGGAAGAACACCAGUGGCGAAGGCGGCUCACUGGCUCGUAACUGACGCUCAGGCGCGACAGCGUGGGGAUCAAACAGGAUUAGAUACCCUGGUAGUCCACGCUGUAAACGUUGGGCGCUAGGUGUGGGGAUCUUCCACGAUCUCCGUGCCGGAGCUAACGCAUUAAGCGCCCCGCCUGGGGAGUACGGCCGCAAGGCUAAAACUCAAAGGAAUUGACGGGCCCGCACAAGCGGCGGAGCAUGUUGCUUAAUUCGACGCAACGCGAAGAACCUUACCAAGGUUUGACAUCACCCGGAAACGCUCAGAGAUGGGCGCCUCUUCGGACUGGGUGACAGGUGGUGCAUGGCUGUCGUCAGCUCGUGUCGUGAGAUGUUGGGUUAAGUCCCGCAACGAGCGCAACCCUUGUUCCAUGUUGCCAGCACGCUCCUUCGGGGGUGGUGGGGACUCAUGGGAGACUGCCGGGGUCAACUCGGAGGAAGGUGGGGAUGACGUCAAGUCAUCAUGCCCCUUAUGUCUUGGGCUGCAAACAUGCUACAAUGGCCGGUACAGAGGGCUGCUAAACCGUGAGGUGGAGCGAAUCCCUAAAAGCCGGUCUCAGUUCGGAUUGGGGUCUGCAACUCGACCCCAUGAAGUCGGAGUCGCUAGUAAUCGCAGAUCAGCAACGCUGCGGUGAAUACGUUCCCGGGCCUUGUACACACCGCCCGUCACUUCACGAAAGUCGGCAACACCCGAAGCCCGUGGCCCAACCACCUUGUGUGGGGGGAGCGGUCGAAGGUGGGGCUGGCGAUUGGGACGAAGUCGAAACAAGGUA
rnacentral:rRNA from 1 species